rnacentral:rRNA from 1 species
UACGUAGGGGGCAAGCGUUGUCCGGAUUUACUGGGCGUAAAGAGCGUGUAGGCGGCCAAACAGGUCCGUUGUGAAAACUGGAGGCUCAACCUCCAGACGUCGACGGAAACCGUGUGGCUAGAGUCCGGAAGAGGAGAGUGGAAUUCCUGGUGUAGCUGUGAAAUGCGCAGAUAUCAGGAAGAACACCAAUGGCGAAGGCAGCUCUCUGGGACGGUACUGACGCUGAGACGCGAAAGCGUGGGGAGCGAACAGG